rnacentral:rRNA from 1 species
AUUGAACGCUGGCGGAAUGCUUUACACAUGCAAGUCGAACGGCAGCACGGACUUCGGUCUGGUGGCGAGUGGCGAACGGGUGAGUAAUGUAUCGGAACGUGCCCAGUCGUGGGGGAUAACGUAGUGAAAAUUACGCUAAUACCGCAUACGAUCUAUGGAUGAAAGCGGGGGAUCGCAAGACCUCGCGCGAUUGGAGCGGCCGAAAUCAGAUUAGGUAGUUGGUGGGGUAAAGGCCCACCAAGCCAACGAUCUGUAGCUGGUCUGAGAGGACGACCAGCCACACUGGAACUGAGACACGGUCCAGACUCCUACGGGAGGCAGCAGUGGGGAAGUUUGGACAAUGGGCGAAAGCCUGAUCCAGCCAUUCCGCGUGCAGGAUGAAGGCCCUCGGGUUGUAAACUGCUUUUGUACAGAACGAAAAGGUUUCUACUAAUACUAGGAGCUCAUGACGGUACUGUAAGAAUAAGCACCGGCUAACUACGUGCCAGCAGCCGCCGCUG